CCGGCGCACGGGUGAGUAACACGUAUGGAACCUGCCCUAUGCAGGGGGAUAAGCGGAAGAAAUUCCGUCUAAUACCGCAUAACACCUUUAGGAGACAUCUUCUUGGGGUCAAAGGAGGCGACUCCGGCAUAGGAUGGCCAUGCGUCGCAUUAGCUAGUCGGCGGGGUAACGGCCCACCGAGGCGACGAUGCGUAGGGGUUCUGAGAGGAAGGUCCCCCACACUGGUACUGAGACACGGACCAGACUCCUACGGAAGGCAGCAG
rnacentral:rRNA from 1 species